rnacentral:rRNA from 1 species
CGAUGCAUAGCCGACCUGAGAGGGUGAUCGGCCACAUUGGGACUGAGACACGGCCCAAACUCCUACGGGAGGCAGCAGUAGGGAAUCUUCCACAAUGGACGAAAGUCUGAUGGAGCAACGCCGCGUGAGUGAUGAAGGUUUUCGGAUCGUAAAACUCUGUUGUAAGGGAAGAACAAGUACGUUAGGAAAUGAACGUACCUUGACGGUACCUUAUUAGAAAGCCACGGCUAACUACGUGCCAGCAGCCGCGGUAAUACGUAGGUGGCAAGCGUUGUCCGGAUUUAUUGGGCGUAAAGCGCGCGCAGGUGGUUUCUUAAGUCUGAUGUGAAAGCCCACGGCUCAACCGUGGAGGGUCAUUGGAAACUGGGAGACUUGAGUGCAGAAGAGGAUAGUGGAAUUCCAAGUGUAGCGGUGAAAUGCGUAGAGAUUUGGAGGAACACCAGUGGCGAAGGCGACUGUCUGGUCUGUAACUGACACUGAGGCGCGAAAGCGUGGGGAGCAAACAGGAUUAGAUACCCUGGUAGUCCACGCCGUAAACGAUGAGUGCUAAGUGUUAGGGGGUUUCCGCCCCUUAGUGCUGCAGCUAACGCAUUAAGCACUCCGCCUGGGGAGUACGACCGCAAGGUUGAAACUCAAAGGAAUUGACGGGGGCCCGCACAAGCGGUGGAGCAUGUGGUUUAAUUCGAAGCAACGCGAAGAACCUUACCAGGUCUUGACAUCCCAGUGACCGCUCUAGAGAUAGAGUUUUCCCUUCGGGGACAUUGGUGACAGGUGGUGCAUGGUUGUCGUCAGCUCGUGUCGUGAGAUGUUGGGUUAAGUCCCGCAACGAGCGCAACCCUUAAUCUUAGUUGCCAUCAUUUAGUUGGGCACUCUAAGGUGACUGCCGGUGACAAACCGGAGGAAGGUGGGGAUGACGUCAAAUCAUCAUGCCCCUGAUGACCUGGGCUACACACGUGCUACAAUGGACGGUACAAAGAGUCGCUAACUCGCGAGAGUACGCUAAUCUCAUAAAACCGUUCUCAGUUCGGAUUGUAGGCUGCAACUCGCCUACAU